CAGAGCUCCACCAUUUGUCGUUUCGUAAUCUCUCAAUCUCCGGCAAACUCUACAUCUUCCCAUCUUUAAUAACUUCUUCAUUAAUGGCAUCCUUUCGUAUCGUCUCCAUUAACUCUUCUUAUAUAACUUCUUCAUAGAUCGAGGAACUGCAUCUCGAAAAAUGACUUGAUUCCUCUACUAGGUUUUCUUUACAGCAUCUCAUCGAAAAUCCCUCUCUCUACUUCUCCAGUUGCUCUAACUGGAGCAGUGCAUCACUGCAUCUCAUAUCAAGUCAAAGCUUUAUUGAACCGGGGCAUAUUUCAACCCAUCACUGACAAUGUCCUCCUCCGCUGCGACUGUUGCUCAAAUAGGCGUCUCCUAUCUCUGCCUUGGUAUGACUUCUCAGUUCGUUGUUGGCCGAUCGUCCACUCUUAGGAUUCAAGGACCAUCAAGAAGAUUGGUGAAUUCUUGGAUAAGGGAUCUUUGACUGAUAUUUGCAUAUCGGGAAAACAAGGCUCUGCUUCACAUAACAAAACUGCUCACUGCAUCCACUUAGAAAAAUUCAGGACCUUUUGUAUAAAACCUAGACUGAUUAGAGGCUAAGAUCGAGACGCUGAGUCUCACUCUAGAGAAUCAACCAGAGUUUUAUUUGUCAAGAAAACAAGGCGGGCGAGGACCGAACCAGUGAAUCAUUCGAUAUCACCAUUCACCGGAGAGGCAGAUCAAAUAAGGCAACUCUUCCAUCUGCAACACAAGAGAUUUGUGGUAGAUUAGAUGUGGAAGGCAUGGACCUUCAAAGAAACUGAUUGCAGGUUAUGUCAAUUUCUCUUUACAAAGUAUGAAGCAACAAUUCAAGGAAUACAGGUCAAGCGUGAUUAAGGGAAUGGAAACGUCUUUAGUUGUUGGGCUGAGGGGAUAGAACUGAUACAGUGGAAAUAAACAUAUUUGGAAAGGAGCAAAGUAUUUGUAUUGUCACCUCUGAACUCAUUGCAGGCUCAAACCAAACAUGGAGAGUGUUGGAACCAUAAUAAGGUUAGGUUACUUAAGUCUAUGAUGGAUUCUGAAACUUCUCAAGACUACUGCCUUUUGUGAACACGCUCUACACCAAAGCAAGAAAAGAGGAAGCGGGUUGCAGAGGGGGGGAGUAAUGAUAAGUUUGGUAAUUUGGUUGUCACGAACUUUGCAUCGGAAUGGUUAUGGUCUUGGGUUCAUUAUUAAUUCAAAAGCUUUUAUGCAAGUAACGAGAGUUUUUUUUAUGUUGACUUUAUC